UCGCUUUUGGUCGUGGUGUUUAUUACAGCGGGAGAAGGCAACCUUGGACAUCGGCUGUCCACCAAAUUACCAUGGCAACCAGGUAACCUCUGUGCCUCAGUAGCCACAAACACGAAAGAAAUGAGGGAGCCAACAGAGGUCCUUAUCUCCUCGGGGCACCACAAGGGAUGGGUUAGCACAGGAGAGGGGGUGAACAUGUAAGUCACCCCGAGAAGAACAGGAACACCCUGAAGUAAGAGUCUGCGAGACUCUAUCACC
ensembl:lincRNA Gm14260 predicted gene 14260